rnacentral:rRNA from 1 species
UACAGAGGGGGCAAGCGUUGUUCGGAAUUACUGGGCGUAAAGGGCGCGUAGGCGGCCUUCUAAGUCGAACGUGAAAUCCCCGGGCUCAACCCGGGAACUGCGUCCGAUACUGGAAGGCUUGAAUCCGGGAGAGGGAUGCGGAAUUCCGAGGUGUAGCGGUGAAAUGCGUAGAUAUCUGGAGGAACACCGGUGGCGAAGGCGG